rnacentral:pre_miRNA from 1 species
AAGGCCAAAGGCUUGCGAGGAUAGGAAAAACUCGUGUGGUGUUGUAUUUUCUCACUCACCGAUCUACAGUUUUUCCCACUCCUCCCAAGCCCAUGGCCUU